AUCCACCAGUCUCUCUGGAGACAGAUGAUGACUUUGCGACGGGCGGACGGAGGGACACGUGACGAAUUCUGUCGUAUUCUGAAUU
rnacentral:pre_miRNA from 18 species